UGGGGAAUUUUGCACAAUGGGGGAAACCCUGAUGCAGCGACGCCGCGUGAUUUAGAAGGCCUUCGGGUUGUAAAAAUCUUUUCUAUGGGAAGAAAAUGACAGUACCAUAGGAAUAAGGACCGGCUAAUUACGUGCCAGCAGCCGCGGUAAUACGUAAGGUCCGAGCGUUGUCCGGAAUCAUUGGGCGUAAAGGGUACGUAGGCGGGUAAGCAAGUUAGAAGUGAAAUCCUAUAGCGCAACUAUAGUAAGCUUUUAAAACUGCUCAUCUUGAGGUAUGGAAGGGAAAGUGGAAUUCCUAGUGUAGCGGUGAAAUGCGCAGAUAUUAGGAGGAAUACCGGUGGCGAAGGCGACUUUCUGGCCAGAACCUGACGCUGAGGUACGAAAGCGUGGGUAGCAAACAGG
rnacentral:rRNA from 1 species